AGAGUUUGAUCCUGGCUCAGGAUGAACGCUGGCGGCGUGCUUAACACAUGCAAGUCGAACGUGAAGCCAGGUGCUUGCACCGGGUGGAAAGUGGCGAACGGGUGAGUAACACGUUGGUGACCUGCCCCCGAGGAGGGGAAUAACCGUGGGAAACUACGGCUAAUGCCCCGGAUGUUCACGGUGUUAGAGGCUGUGAACUAAAGUUCCGGCGCCUCGGGAGGGGCCUGCGGGCUAUCAGCUAGUUGGUGAGGUAACGGCUCACCAAGGCCAAGACGGCUAGGGGGCGUGAGAGCGUGGCCCCCCACAAUGGAACUGAGACACGGUCCAUACACCUACGGGUGGCUGC
rnacentral:rRNA from 1 species